AUUGAACGCUGGCGGCAUGCCUUACACAUGCAAGUCGAACGGCAGCGGGGGAGAAGCUUGCUUUUCCUGCCGGCGAGUGGCGAACGGGUGUGUAAUACAUCGGAACGCGCCCUGUAGUGGGGGAUAACUAGUCGAAAGAUUAGCUAACACCGCAUACGAUCUAAGGAUGAAAGCGGGGGAUCGCAAGACCUCGCGCGAUUGGAGCGGCCGAUAUCAGAUUAGGUAGUUGGUGGGGUAAAGGCUCACCAAGCCAACGAUCUGUAGCUGUUAUGAGAGGAGGACCAGCGACACGGGAACUGAGACACGGUCCAGACUCCUACGGGAGGCAGCAGUGGGGAAUUUUGGACAAUGGACGCAAGUCUGAUCCAGCCAUUCCGCGUGCAGGAUGAAGGCCCUCGGGUUGUAAACUGCUUUUGUACGGAACGAAAAGGUCUCUCUUAAUACGGGGGGCUCAUGACGGUACCGUAAGAAUAAGCACCGGCUAACUACGUGCAAGCCGCCGCCGUAA
rnacentral:rRNA from 1 species